AGAAACUUAGGAUACCUAAACCGAAGGCCUUCAAAGCCUUAAACAAGAGUUAAACCCUCUUAGUUUCUG
rnacentral:tRNA from 1 species